rnacentral:rRNA from 1 species
UGUGGGUAGGGGUGAAAGGCUAAUCAAACCAAGAAAUAGCUCGUUCUCUCCGAAAUGUAUUUAGGUACAGCCUCGUUUUGGAUUUAUUAGGGGUAGAGAUACUGGUAAGGCUAGGGGGCUUCACCGCCUACCAAACUUUGUCAAACUCCGAAUACUAAUAAAUCGCAGCGGGAGUGAGGGCAUGGGUGCUAAGGUCCAUGUCCGAGAGGGAAAGAACCCAGACCACCUGCUAAGGUCCCCAAAUAUGUGCUAAGUUGAUUUAACGAGGUGUGAUUGCUUUGACAGCUAGGAUGUUGGCUUGGAAGCAGCCAU